GGAAUCUUCGGCAAUGGGGGCAACCCUGACCGAGCAACGCCGCGUGAGUGAAGAAGGUUUUCGGAUCGUAAAGCUCUGUUGUAAGAGAAGAACGUGUGUGAGAGUGGAAAGUUCACACAGUGACGGUAACUUACCAGAAAGGGACGGCUAACUACGUGUCAG
rnacentral:rRNA from 1 species